AGAGUUUGAUCAUGGCUCAGAACGAACGCUGGCGGCAGGCUUAACACAUGCAAGUCGAGCGCCCCGCAAGGGGAGCGGCAGACGGGUGAGUAACGCGUGGGAAUCUACCCAUCUCUACGGAACAACUCCGGGAAACUGGAGCUAAUACCGUAUACGUCCUUCGGGAGAAAGAUUUAUCGGAGAUGGAUGAGCCCGCGUUGGAUUAGCUAGUUGGUGGGGUAAUGGCCUACCAAGGCGACGAUCCAUAGCUGGUCUGAGAGGAUGAUCAGCCACACUGGGACUGAGACACGGCCCAGACUCCUACGGGAGGCAGCAGUGGGGAAUAUUGGACAAUGGGCGAAAGCCUGAUCCAGCCAUGCCGCGUGAGUGAUGAAGGCCCUAGGGUUGUAAAGCUCUUUCAACGGUGAAGAUAAUGACGGUAACCGUAGAAGAAGCUCCGGCUAACUUCGUGCCAGCAGCCGCGGUA
rnacentral:rRNA from 1 species